UGGGGAAUAUUGCACAAUGGGCGCAAGCCUGAUGCAGCCAUGCCGCGUGUAUGAAGAAGGCCUUCGGGUUGUAAAGUACUUUCAGCGGGGAGGAAGGUGUUGUGGUUAAUAACCACAGCAAUUGACGUUACCCGCAGAAGAAGCACCGGCUAACUCCGUGCCAGCAGCCGCGGUAAUACGGAGGGUGCAAGCGUUAAUCGGAAUUACUGGGCGUAAAGCGCACGCAGGCGGUCUGUCAAGUCGGAUGUGAAAUCCCCGGGCUCAACCUGGGAACUGCAACCGAAACUGGCAGGCUUGAGUCUUGUAGAGGGGGGUAGAAUUCCAGGUGUAGCGGUGAAAUGCGUAGAGAUCUGGAGGAAUACCGGUGGCGAAGGCGGCCCCCUGGACAAAGACUGACGCUCAGGUGCGAAAGCGUGGGGAGCAAACA
rnacentral:rRNA from 1 species